UGUCAUCUAAGUAAAACAGCAGAAAAAGACGCAUUAUCAAAAAUGUAUAACCAUCAAGGAAUACCUUAUAUAUCUGACUGCAGCUGCCACUGUGACUCUUCCCCUUGCAUCCUUGCUGACCAACAGGCACCAGCAAACCCUUCCUCUGGACACAGCGUGUCUGCGCCUUCCACCAUCACCGUUCUUCCUGGUCCUUGGGAACGUAACCCUCAUCCUUGCUGCAACCUACAACUUGCUUUUUUAUGGUGGUUACCUCGCUGGAUGCAGUUCCCUUCUAAGGAUGUAGAAAAUAAUAAAAUUUGUAAUAACUUUCAGUAAGAUUGCAACUGAAAACAA